rnacentral:rRNA from 1 species
UACAGAGGUCCCAAGCGUUGUUCGGAUUCACUGGGCGUAAAGGGUGCGUAGGUGGUGAGGUAAGUCGGAUGUGAAAUCUCCGAGCUCAACUCGGAAAUGGCAUUGGAAACUACCUUGCUCGAGGGUUGGAGGGGGGACUGGAAUUCUCGGUGUAGCAGUGAAAUGCGUAGAUAUCGAGAGGAACACCAGUGGCGAAGGCGAGUCCCUGGACAACUCCUGACACUGGGGCACGAAAGCUAGGGGAGCAAACAGG